UACGAAGGGGGGCUAGCGUUGUUCGGAAUUACUGGGCGUAAAGCGCACGUAGGCGGAUUGUUAAGUUAGGGGGUGAAAUCCCCAGGGCUCAACCCUGGAACUGCCUUUAAUACUGGCAAUCUCGAGUCCGAGAGAGGGUGAGUGGAAUUCCGAGUGUAGAGGUGAAAUUCGUAGAUAUUCGGAGGAACACCAGUGGCGAAGGCGGGCUCACUGGCUCGGGUACUGACGCUGAGGUGCGAAAGCGUGGGGAGCAAACAGGG
rnacentral:rRNA from 1 species